rnacentral:rRNA from 1 species
UGGGGAAUAUUGGGGCAAUGGGGGAAACCCUGACCCAGCAACGCCGCGUGAAGGAAGAAGGCUUUCGGGUUGUAAACUUCUUUUACCAGGGACGAAGGACAUGACGGUACCUGGAGAAAAAGCUCCGGCUAACUACGUGCCAGCAGCCGCGGUAAUACGUAGGGAGCGAGCGUUGUCCGGAUUUACUGGGUGUAAAGGGCGUGUAGGCGGAGGAGCAAGUCAGAAGUGAAAUCUCCGGGCUUAACCCCGGAAACUGCUUUUGAAACUGUUCCCCUUGAGUACUGGAGAGGCAGGCGGAAUUCCUAGUGUAGCGGUGAAAUGCGUAGAUAUUAGGAGGAACACCAGUGGCGAAGGCGGCCUGCUGGACAGCAACUGACGCUGAGGCGCGAAAGCGUGGGGAGCAAACAGGAUUAGAUACCC